rnacentral:rRNA from 1 species
CUGGCUGUACGGACCUUCUAACCCAGAACCGUGAUCCGGUUCGGAGACAGUGUCAGGUGGGCAGUUUGACUGGGGCGGUCGCCUCCCAAAGAGUAACGGAGGCGCCCAAAGGUUCCCUCAGAAUGGUUGGAAAUCAUUCGCAGAGUGUAAAGGCAGAAGGGAGCUUGACUGCGAGACCUACAAGUCGAGCAGGGACGAAAGUCGGGCUUAGUGAUCCGGCGGUGCCGUAUGGAAGGGCCGUCGCUCAACGGAUAAAAGCUACCCCGGGGAUAACAGGCUUA